rnacentral:rRNA from 1 species
AAGUCGUAACAAGGUCUCCGUUGGUGAACCAGCGGAGGGAUCAUUACCGAGUUUACAACUCCCAAACCCCUGUGAACAUACCACUUGUUGCCUCGGCGGAUCAGCCCGCUCCCGGUAAAACGGGACGGCCCGCCAGAGGACCCCUAAACUCUGUUUCUAUAUGUAACUUCUGAGUAAAACCAUAAAUAAAUCAAAACUUUCAACAACGGAUCUCUUGGUUCUGGCAUCGAUGAAGAACGCAGCGAAAUGCGAUAAGUAAUGUGAAUUGCAGAAUUCAGUGAAUCAUCGAAUCUUUGAACGCACAUUGCGCCCUUUGGUAUUCCGAAGGGCAUGCCUGUUCGAGCGUCAUUAUCACCCCUCAAGCCCCGUGCUUGGUGUUGGACGGUCGGUCGAAGGGUCCCCCCCUCGACCCGUCCUAAAGACAACGACGGCGGCCUGUGGUUCCCCCGGUACACUGAGCUUUUCACCGAGCACGUACCGGACGAGGGCGCCCAGGACCCGGUCUUCUCCUCUCGCGAGGAACUAUUUUUUCAAGGUUGACCUCGGAUCAGGUAGGAAUACGCGCUGAACUUAA